GCGGGCCCUACCACUUGCAAGUUCGAACGGUAGCACAGAGAGCUUGCUCUCGGGUGACGAGUGGCGGACGGGUGAGUAAUGUCUGGGAAACUGCCUGAUGGAGGGGGAUAACUACUGGAAACGGUAGCUAAUACCGCAUAACGUCGCAAGACCAAAGUGGGGGACCUUCGGGCCUCUUGCCAUCGGAUGUGCCCAGAUGGGAUUAGCUUGUAUGUGAGGUAACGGCUCACCUAUGCGACGAUCCCUAGCUGGUCUGAGAGGAUGACCAGCCACACUGGAACUGAGACACGGUCCAGACUCCUACGGGAGGCAGCAGUGGGGAAUAUUGCACAAUGGGCGCAAGCCUGAUGCAGCCAUGCCGCGUGUAUGAAGAAG
rnacentral:rRNA from 1 species